GAUGAAGAACGUAGCGAAAUGCGAUAAGUAAUGUGAAUUGCAGAAUUCAGUGAAUCAUCGAAUCUUUGAACGCACAUUGCGCCCCCUGGUAUUCCGGGGGGCAUGCCUGUUCGAGCGUCAUUAUAACCCCUCAAGCUCAGCUUGGUGUUGGGGCCUGCUGCACUGGCAGCCCUUAAAAUCAGUGGCGGCGCCAUCUGGCUCUAAGCGUAGUAAUUCUUCUCGCUAUGGAGUCCUGGUGGAUGCUUGCCAUCAACCCCCAAUUUUUCUAUGGUUGACCUCGGAUCAGGUAGGGAUACCCGCUGAACUUAAGCAUAUCAAUAAGCGGAGGA
rnacentral:misc_RNA from 1 species